UCCUUCAUCUAGAACUGAUGCUUUUGCAGCGUCUCUCUUUCUCCUUUCCCCUUCUUUCUUCCUUCAUCUCACCAGAACUGAUGCCUCUCUUCCCUUCAUUCAUGGUUGAUUCUAAUUUCUCUCUCAAUCAAUUUCUUUGUUUUCUGGGUCCAUUCUUACUUUCUCUUCUACUAUUUCGUGUAUAAUUUACUCUACUUUCAGAAUAGACCAUGAUUCGAUCUCAAUUGCGUAGGAAUCUGUCUUGGUUAGGAAUUUCUGUUCCAAAGUUCAAUUGAUCAAUUGGGUGCUCAUUAAUUUUUGAUUUUGGAGGAAUUCAUUCCUCAGAAUUGUUGGAUUUAUGUGAGAAUGCAGUGAGCUGCAUGAUUAUGGUCCUUCCUUUUCUUGCAUGAUGAUAUUGAAUUUAAUGGAAUUAGAAACUUGGAUUUGAAUCUUGUGGAUUCAAAUACUUUGUUGUCUUCAACUUUCUUCUCUCUUCUUUGAAUAACAGGAACAUGGAUCAAAGUAAUUCAGAUUCAUCCUUGCCGUUACAAUAGCAGGUGGUUUGAUACAGCUAGGGAAAUGUUGAAAAAUGGAUGUGAGCUCUCAAACAGGACAACCCAAAAUGCAGAAGUUAUAUGGUUUCGUCACUAAGCUGCGUUGAUUUUUUUGUUCUUUUUCUGCAGACGAGUUAAAUCAAUCACUAAGCUACACAUUUGUUAAAUGCAGACGAGUUGACCACCUACCAGAUUUGCAACAAAGAUUGCAGAUGCAAAGAAGAUGUUUGAAGCACAAGAAAAGCUUCGGUUCAAUCUUGAUCGUGCUUGGAUUUCAAGCUGUUUAUGUUUCCU